rnacentral:rRNA from 1 species
GCACAAGCGGUGGAGCAUGUGGUUAAUUCGAAGCAACGCGAAGAACCUUACCAGGUCUUGACAUCCCCUGACAACCCGAGAGAUCGGGCGUUCCCCCUUCGGGGGACAGGGUGACAGGUGGUGCAUGGUUGUCGUCAGCUCGUGUCGUGAGAUGUUGGGUUAAGUCCCGCAACGAGCGCAACCCUCGACCUUAGUUGCCAGCAUUCAGUUGGGCACUCUAAGGUGACUGCCGGCUAAAAGUCGGAGGAAGGUGGGGAUGACGUCAAAUCAUCAUGCCCCUUAUGGGUAGGGCUUCACACGUCAUACAAUGGUCGGUACAGAGGGUUGCCAACCCGCGAGGGGGAGCUAAUCCCACAAAGCCGAUCGUAGUCCGGAUCGCAGUCUGCAACUCGACUGCGUGAAGUCGGAAUCGCUAGUAAUCGUGGAUCAGCAUGUCACGGUGAAUACGUUCCCGGGUCUU